CUGCCCUGGGCUCAGGAACCCACUGCACCAGCAGUGACCAGGGAGCGACCCCUGCUUACUGUUCACCUGCUGAUCCCACGGUGGUCAGUCCAACAGACAUGGUCCUGCCCUCAGCACAGAGGGGAAACGGACCUACCGGGGAAGCAAAGGAAGGAAGGGCCAGAGGGGGCUGGUGUGGAGGGGCCAAGGAAGAGGGGUCUGGCCAGGUGGUGGAGGGCAUCCCCUGGCUGAGGCGAGGGCGUGUAAAUGUCAACCCUGGUCUAUAGCAGCUGUGGCACAGCACAGAGUCCCCGAGAUUUCUGCACUUCUGUUUUCUCCAUUUGUAAAAUGGAAAGGUUACGAUGAAUCUACUCCACCAAUUAUUCCACAAGGUAACAACGUAUUUCAUCUUGAAAGGACUUCAGAGCUUUUCAUUUUUUAGUACAAAAUGCAAACUGACAAUGAAAUGUUGGCUUUUAAGGCAUUUAGGCUGAAUUUAGCUCUUAGUUCAUUUAGUUCUUUGAAGGUGUUCGAUAAAAAGUGUGCAGAACUGCCAUUAACCACCAUCAGUCCAGAUUGGUGUCCUCGUGAUGAAAUAUGAUUUCAGCUGGAAGUAAAAGUUUUGUUCAUUCUAAACCAGAAAAGGUCACGUCAACUUAGAAAAUCUCCCGUAUUCUUCAUUACAGCAAACCAAACUUUUCUACCCCGGGUCCUCCGUGGAGACCCAGUCCCAGCAGAGUGUGCGCGAGCUUCGGGGCCUGCAGACGAGUUUGGGCUGCUCGGCCAAUGGACACCGUUUGCCUCUGCAGCCAUAUUUACAGUUCUUUUGGAGAAAAAUUGAUAGGAGCCAUUCUUUCCUGCUUAAUUUAUCUGGAAAACCCUUUGUCAGGAAAGAAAAGUGCUCUUGAAAUUUGUCAGCUCAAUCAGACGUGUGGCUUCUCACGUACAAAGAUAAAAACUCAUUUUCAUCCCUCCAAGGUUUUGUUGUCCUUUUUUGUUCACAUCACUGUUAAACUGAGCCAAAACAAAACGCCUUCAAAAGCAGGUUCCCUUUUGCCUGAGUCCAGCUGCUUUGCGGGCGUCUGUCUGCGUGGCAUCCUGUCUUCAGCCAGCACACCUGGCCUCCCUACGCCUUUCGCAUGUUUCCAACAGAGAAAAAACUAAUUCCAGACGACAUUCAAUGGACGACUGAAAUUAAUUUUUCUAAAUUGUAGAUCUCACAGCCGAUUUCACCUAAAUCACCAAUUACAUGUUUUUUUUUUCUUUGCUUGCUUUUGUUUUCACACUUUUGGAUUACAUUCCUACAUAAAUAAAGAAGCAGCAGGUACAGAGACGGGAAGUGGGAGUGUGAUAUUGUAUGUUUGUACUACUAGGUUUAAAGUGUUACCUAACAUCUUUCCAAAGCAUCCCUGAGUGGGGACCCCCGACCACAGCUGUGACACAGCAGCUGCGAGGAAAGUUGGGAACUAGUCUCACUGGGGUUCUUCAAACAAGGGUGCAGGAACCCUGGAAGAGUGCCCCUCAGGCUGGCCCUGCUCCUCGCCUGAUGGCGCCCUGAAGGUAGCUGCUACCGGAUCCUAACUCGACACUAACCACUGAGGUAGGAAGCCCACAACGUCUGGGCUUUUACACGUGGCUCCUGUGCUUUCUUAAAGGACCUCAUGAUUUAGCCUUAAUCUUUAGUUUGGUGGGACAGGUGAAGACUGCUGACACUGGGCUGAGGUUGUUUGGGAAUUGGGGCUGGGCCUGGGCCUGCGCUGGAGCACCCUUGCUUUUUCCAGAAGGAAGGUGGGGUGAAAGCUUCAAGUCUGCAGACAUUCUAGCAGGGAAAGCGCUACAGGGACACCUCACGAGGCCGUAUUGGAGUGCAGGAAUGUAGAGGUAAGUGACAGCAUGUUUAAGCAAAAUUUAAGGUAUUUUAUGGGAAAUGCAAACUCUAUAUGCAUGAUUAGAAGAACAAAACAGAUAUUCUAAUAAGAAACCUGUACUGUGUGUACUUGCAAUGCUAAACGGUGCUUUUCAUGCACCCUCCCUGCCACCGAACUGCCCCAAGAAAGUGACCACAAAGCAUAAUGGUCCCAGGCACAGACAGGCAGGGCAUGUGUGGCUCCUGCCAUGUGAAUGGGCCCUGGGUUUCCUGAGAAAGGGACCUGAGAGGGACAGAGAAGGACUUGUCACACAAAACUGGGAGGGAUGUCGACUCUGAAGAUGAAGCUAACCCUGGAGCCCCAAAGCACACUCUGAAAGGGCCUGGCAGGCACUUCCAACUCCUGGAAUUACACAACAGCGGGAGCCCUGGGGGCAGACACAGUAGAGAGGGGGUGGUGCUGGUGGUGCAAACUAGAAGCUCCCAGUGGCGGCCAGGCUCAGAGUGCGAGGAGUCUGACGGGCAGAGCCGGACAAGUGCCGGCUGGUGGCUCUGCUGGGGGCCGCGUAGGCAGCAUGUCUGCACAGCCUGGCUCUCGGGCGCUCACUGGGAGUCACAAGCCUGGUCCACAAGGAGGUGGGCAAACACCUGUGCAUGAGCACUCCUCACCCACGGAGAAGAACGGCCCCAGGAGGUGGAGAUACCCCAAGCCACAGACCGGCAACCAGGGCAGGGUUUCCCACACAGUUUGGGUUUUCACCUGUGGUCAAGGCAAUAGCUCUCUCUUUCUCCUCAAAGUGUUCGAAUUUGGACAAUAAAUGAUAUGGCUAGUCUGCUUAUAACAUGUGGGUUUCCUUGAGCCCAUAAGGGGAUAGCUGUCAGCUCAAGUCCCAAAGUUUAACCCUGAAUUUUCAGUUUGAUUGCUACUAUAAAUGGGUAUACCACACUGAACAAAAGGAGGGAGUGAGUGAGUGUGGAGGUGAGUGUGGAGGUGAGAGUGGAGGUAAGGGAGGGUGGAGGUGAGGGAGGGUGGAGGUGAGGGUGGAGGUGAGGGAGGGUGGAGGUGAGGGUGGAGGUGAAGGUGGAGGUGAGGGAGGGUGGAGGUGAGGGUGGAGGUGAGGGUGGAGGUGAGGGAGGGUGGAGGUGAGGGUGGAGGUGAGGGAGGGUGGAGGUGAGGGUGGAGGUGAGGGUGGAGGUGAAGGUGGAGGUGAGGGAGGGGAGGUGAGGUGUGGAGGUGAGGGAGGGUGGAGGUGAGGGUGGAGGUGAGGGUGGAGGUGAGGGAGGGUGGCGAUGAGUGUGGAGGUGAAUGUGGAGGUUAGCGUGGAGGUGAGGGUGGAGGUGAGGGUGGAGGUGAGUGUGGAGGUGAGGGUGGAGGUGGGGGUGGAGGUGAGUGAGGGUGGAGAUGAGUGAGGAGUGGGUUUUUUUGUUUUAGUUUCCAUUUAUAAUUCUGUUUUAAGCCGAUUCAGGAUAUGUUGAACCUCACUUUAUGAAGACUCUGUGCUGGGUCCGCCCAUGUAUUCAAUGGCUCAGGAAUUUGAUGAGACACUAGUAAAUAUUUGACAUCUGUGCCCUCAGAGGACAGUGUUUCAGUAGCAGAAGGCCUGACCCGGGUUACUGAAUCCUCACAAGGACUGGCGGCAAUUCUGCAAAUAAUGGCAGUAAAUCCUGAGUGAGGUGGGAACGUAGCGCAGGGGUGUGUGUAGUCGAGCAAGUCGCAGGGGUGUGAAAAUAACACCCCUGCGUGCAAGGAAACCGGAGUGUGUGAGGUUGGGACCCGCACCCGGGUCUCUGAUCAGUGCUGUGCAGAAGCCCCUCUCCUCCCAGAGCGGGACCGCUGCUCUCCCCCGUCACUUGCUACAUUUUACUGACCGUGUUUGAAUUCAAGAGGCAAAACACAUGGGCCCUGAAAUAUGUCACUCUGUGAACUAAGGGGGAAGGAAAAGGGAGAAUGGAGAUCAGUGGAACCCUACUCACGCAGGGCUGGGCCUGGCAGGGAUGAUGCACUUCGGCAGGAAGAGCGAGAGGUGUCAGUCUCCACCCAGCAGCUUGCUGUAAGUGUAUGAGGUUGGGGGUUAACAGAAGACCCCUGAUGCCGUCACAGAGCGGUGACACCCAGGUCUGUCCUAGACCAGCCGGAGCAGGGUCCAGAGAGGAAGUCGUGCCGCCACUAGGAAUGGGAGGUGCAAGACUCAGGAGGCCUUUACCAGAUUUGUUCCUAACAACCACCCCUCCAGGACUGCAAAGGGAAAAGCCACGUGCAACACCACCACCUGGGCAGCGCUCGAAGGCUGUGAGCACCUAGGAGAUCUAAGCCAGCAGUGAAGAGGCUGCUGUCCUAGUAUAAUUCCCGUGCACAGAGGUAAGUGGGCCAGAGGCCAGUGGGUGCACAGGCUGCACAGAGCUCAGGCGUCCUGAGGAUCUAGGGCCCAGGGAAGAACUAAGAGCGCCGCCCCUGUAAGGCGAGGGGCAGGAGACCCGGGGAGGGGUUGGCCACUGCCAGCACCCCAUGCAGCCUGCCCGAGACCCCCAAACUCAUGGUGGUUGUGAACCAUUUGGAGUGUGGUUGGAAGGCAUCUGUUUCCUCUAGCUGGGAAGAGUGUGAUGGAUCUAGAUGGGCUGACAGGAGGGACAAAAUAUUAACUGAUGUGAAAACACGGAAGACAAAGCUUACGGGAAUAUUGAAAUAACAUCUGUACUUUUUGGCAGCGUGAAAUUGGCUAAUAAAAGCAUCUAUGAGUGUUGGCAUUUCAGGAUUUGAGAGGUGGGCCCUCGUUUGCCUAAGCACCGUUGAAGGGGCUGCCGAAACCCACUGCAGGGUCCAGGUGCCUCUCUCCAACUGUCGCUCCAGCCUGGACCAGGUGCUCUGCUUCCUCUCCCCUUGUGGUUUGAGCAGAAAUCCCACAGGAAGCACAGCGUCAGGGGACACUUCCUCCCAGGCCUGGUACCGAUGUGCUAACCCUGUGUUUCUGCUCUUUCCUCACUCCUUUCCUGUGGUCUUUCUCAUGAUACACUGGUCACAGAGGCACCACUCUCCUGGAUCACUAAAUAUUUUCCACUCUCAACACCAAAGUGCAUUUACGGAGUACCUACUGUGUGCUAAGCACCCUGAAGGAUACAAAGAUCAAUGUCCUGAGCUGAUAGCCUAGUAGCGGGUGUAUCACAAGAAAGUGAAAACUACAGUACUGAGGCGGGUAUUAUCACAGGAGAGGACACAAGCACCUCUUGGAUGCUUGAUUGUACCCCAAAGACAACAUGAUGGAAACGUGUGAACUCUGGUAUGUGUCAGACACUGCUUAAGCAUUUUAUACGGAUUAACCUCAUCACAGUCCUUCCCCAAAUGGCUUUUUACCCAGUAGCUACAUUUUGAAGUCUUAAACUUCUGCAGAUUUCCUAGUAAUUUUAUAUUUUGGCCUUCGACACAAACUUGUUUCUUAAAGAGGUUACUUCUUAUUUCAAAACAUACAUUCUUAAGAAUUAAUCUUCUACAAUAUAAUGAAAUCUUAAAGCAGAGUUAUAAAAUUUGUUCCAAAUUCUCAACAAAAUACUAGGAAACCAUAUCUAACAGCAUAUUACAAGGAUUAUUGACCAUGACCAAGUGGGAUUUAGUCCAGGAAUGCAAGGGUGGUUCAACAAUCAGUCAAUAUAAUACUCCACAUGAACAGAAUGAAGGAAAAGCCCCUAUGAUCAUCUCUAAUGAUGCUGAAAAAGCAUUUGACAAACUCUAACACUUUCCUGAUAAAAACACCCAGAAAACUAGGAAUAGAAAGGCUCUUCCUCAACAUGAUAAAAAGGCACUUAUCAGUGCCCACAGCUAAUUUCAUACUCAACAGUGAAAGACCAAAAGGCUUUCCUCUAACAACAGGAACUAGGCAAGGAUGCCCACUUUCUCCACUGCUAUGCAACACUGCCCUGGAAGUUCUAGCCAGAGCAAUUAGGCAAGAAAAAAAUUAAUGGCAAAUUAAUUUAGAAACGAAGAAGUAAAACUAUCUCUAUUUGCAGAUGACAUGAUCUUAUAUAUAGAAAAUCACAAAGAAUCUACAAAUAAAGCUACUAGAGCUAAUAAGUAGAUUCAGCAAAGUUGCAGGGUAUGAGAUACAAAAUCAACAUGCAAAAAUCAGUUGUGCUUCUCUACACUAGCAAUGAGAAUCCAAAAAGGAAAUGAAGAAAACAAUUCCAUUCUAUAAUAGCAUCUAAAAAGAAUAAAAUACUGAAGAAUACAUUUAACCCAAGAGAUGAAAGACUUGUACACUGAAAACUCCAAAGCAUUACUGGGAGAAAUUAAAGAAACCUAAUUAAAUGGAAAAACAUUCCUGGUUCAUGGAUUGGAAGGCUUAACACUGUUAAGAUGUCAAUACCAUUCAAAGUGAUCUACAAAUUCAAUGCCAUUUCUAUCAAACUUUCAAUUGCUUUUUUUCUAGAAAUGGGGAAAAAAAUCUUCAAAUUAAUAUGGAAUUUCAAGGGGUCCUGAGUAGCUAAAGGAAUCUUGAAAAAGAAGGACAAAUUUGGAGGACUCACACUUCCUGCUUUCAAAACCUGCUACGAAGCUACAGUAAUCAAAAUAGUGUGGUUUUGGCAUAAAGACGGACACAUAGACCAAUGGAAUAGAACUGAGGGUUCAGAAAUAAACCCCCCAAACUACAGCCAACUGACUUUCAACCAGGGUUCCAAGACUAUUCAAUUGGGAAAAAAUAAGUUCUUCAAAAAAUGGUGAUGGGGCUUCCCUGGUGGCGCAGAUGGUUGAGAGUCCGCCUGCCGAUGCAGGGGACACGGGUUCAU